rnacentral:misc_RNA from 1 species
GAUGACGAACGCAGCGAAAUGCGAUACGUAAUGUGAAUUGCAGAAUUCAGUGAAUCAUCGAGUCUUUGAACGCACAUUGCGCCCCCUGGUAUUCCGGGGGGCAUGCCUGUCCGAGCGUCAUUGCUGCCCUCAAGCACGGCUUGUGUGUUGGGCCUCCGUCCUCCUCCCGGGGGACGGGCCCGAAAGGCAGCGGCGGCACCGCGUCCGGUCCUCGAGCGUAUGGGGCUUCGUCACCCGCUCUUGUAGGCCCGGCCGGCGCUUGCCGACACAUCAAUCUUUUUUCCAGGUUGACCUCGGAUCAGGUAGGGAUACCCGCUGAACUUAAGCAUAUCAAUAAGCGGAGGA